UCGAACCGCAACCCAGGUCAGGCGGGAUUACCGC
rnacentral:rRNA from 1 species